rnacentral:rRNA from 1 species
AAGAUUGCACAGUGGGUGACACACUGAUGCUUCUACUCCGCCAGAACGAAUAAGUAUUUCGAUAUGUAAAGCUCUAUCAGCUGGGUAGAUAUGGAAGGUACCUGACUACAACCUCUCGGCUAGCUACGUUCCCGCAGCCGCGGUAAUACGUAGGGGGCAAGCGUUAUCCGGAUUUACUGGGUGUAAAGGGAGCGUAGGUGGUUCGGUAAGUCAGAUGUGAAAGCCCGGGGCUCAACCCCGGGACUGCAUUUGAAACUAUCGAACUAGAGUGUAGGAGAGGUAAGUGGAAUUCCUAGUGUAGCGGUGAAAUGCGUAGAUAUUAGGAGGAACACCAGUGGCGAAGGCGGCUUACUGGAAUAUAACUGACACUGAGGCUCGAAAGCGUGGGGAGCAAACAGG